rnacentral:lncRNA from 1 species
CUCAUGCUCACGAAUUAACAGGAGCCCAGGCAAUGGAAAUGCUUCUGCCUCACGAAUCUGUCUUCUAUGCUGUAGAAAUACUUCUAUGAUUCAGUUUUUCCUCAAGAGGAACACCCAACUCUUGCUGAACUACUAGAGCUCAGCUGAGGGCAACUACAACCUAUGCUGGCUUUCGAAGAAGGUGACUUCCAAAGAGGACGUCAGGAUCCUGUGGCUUAAGUGGAAAGCUGUGGCCAGAGCUCUGAAGUGUUGACAAGUGGAACCGAUUCCCGUGGUACAGGACUGUAUUCUGCAAGGCAUCAAAAGCAGGUUCGUCAUGAACACAAUGCCAUAGGGGCUGUCCUGAAGACAUAUUUAUCCUGCUGGGGUUUAAGAAAAGGCCUAAGCUUGGCUCUUUCCCAUCUUUUAAAAUGUUACAAGCUUUUAUCUGAACUUCUCAAACAACAUGCUAAGCGCUGCAAUGUUGCCCAAAGCUGGGGACAAGACAGAAAAACCUGCUCUGAGAGCUGUGCAAAGAUAACGCCGUUGUCAACCAAAGAAACCUCCUUCACUUAUUCAAGAGUAUCGCCCG